AGGGACACCCAGGACCAGGUUGGUCCCCCAUGGUAACCACACUGCAAUGGAUUCACUGUGUACCCAGCCGCCUUGGCACAGAGACUGGACAGAGUUGCCAUCUAUGAGGAAUUCCUGCGGCUGACCAGAAGGGUACCCAGCUGCAGAACUUUACCCUGGACGGAAAGAAUGUCCUUGGGGAUGAAUAUUCUGCCAACAGAGAUGACACCUUGACUGAGAAGCCUGGUAAACCUGCAGGAAGCCCCAGCCCAUGGUAGGGGGCGAGUAUCUUGAUGCUGUGCCUCAUUGAAGAGAACCAUGCGCACAGGGUCUUGGAUGAUGAGGAAAGUUGGCCAACCCUUGUCAAGGACGGUUGAGGCACAGUGGGGUCAGCAGGAGCCCUGGGGUGAUGACAGGAGGUGGCUCACCCCAGCACUUGUCUCCCCAGACCACCCCGUCUGGGCCCUCAUCCUGAU